AUGCAAAUGCCUAACAGUGAAGCUUACCAACUGUGGUUCUGUCCUGGCCAUGAGGAAGCUCCAUGAGCACUCCAAGGCCAUGAGUGUUUACAUGAUAUAAUAAUUACCAACCUUCAAAAUAUAUUCAGUAGAUGGGACUCAAGAUUUUUCACAGCUUUUCCUGCCUUAGCUGGGUUGUUUGUGAAAGACCUAAACUCGGAUGCACAGGGGCAAUUCAUCUUAAAGCCUGUAGACUCAGCUACAAGCCAGCAACAAAAUGGGAAGGAAAGACAUCAUGACAAACAAGGGACUGUUUUGACAUCCUGCUUCCACAGGGGCUCUGUGCCCCACCAGGACCAAGAAUGCCCUGCCCCGACAUUUAAUACAGGAAAAAUCUUUGGCAAAGAUCUGGGUUCAAUUUGUCAUGAGGGAAAAUGGCCCACAGUAAUUGUGGACAUUCUAUCCCUCAUAGAAGAAAAAGGACCCAAGACUGAGGGCAUAUUCCAGAUAUCUCCAAAUGCAACAUCAUGCAAAAUCCUAAAGGAGAAAUUUGAAUCAGGGGAAGAGGUGGAUGUAAGAAAGUACUCAGUACAUGAAAUCGCCUGGAUUUUAAAGGAAUUUCUUCAAUCGCUCAAAGGAAGUCUGAUGACUUCUCAAUUAUAUGACCAGUGGAUUGCUGUACCCGAAAAUGUCAAUGAUAUGCAGAAAUUAGCUGCAGUGCAGAGUCUUAUAGAAAAACUCCCAGGACCUAGUGCUGCUCUUCUCCAACAACUUUUUCGAAUCCUACACAAAAUUGCCAAAAAUUCUUGCAUUAGCCAAAUGCCAUCGUACAAUCUAUCUGUUGAGAUAGCACCAUGUAUCUUAUGUCCUCAUAACUAUCAUAAUGAAGUACUGGCAAAUGAUAUUACCAAAAAGAGAAACAAGAAGGCAGUGGGUAUAGAAACCAAGAAACAUCUUCUCCAACUCCUCCAGAACAAAUGAGAAGACAAAUAUUUCAGACAAUACCACCCAUUGUCUGCUUGGACAGAUGCUACCUCUUAUGCUUGACUGUAUUAGAAAUAUAAAAGAAAGCUUGCCCUGCUCCUACUUAUAUGAAGAUUGGAUUAGCAUACUCGACGAAGAAUCUCUUCUUGCAAAAAUGUCUGUUAUACAAAGAUGUCUAUUAUACAAAUCAUGAUUGACAACUGUGAAGAUAUAUUUGGUGAUGAUGGCCGUAUCAUUUGUAAUGAUAAUAAGAAGAGGUCAGAUGACAUAAAGACUUCACUAAAUU